AACUAACGCUGGCGGCGUGCCUAACACAUGCAAGUCGUACGAGAAAGUCGGCUUCGGCUGAUGAGUAAAGUGGCGCACGGGUGAGUAACGCGUGGAUAAUCUGCCCUUGAGUGUGGAAUAACGUACCGAAAGGUGCGCUAAUACCGCAUAAUGCCUGGCAACACAAGUUGUCCGGCCAAAGAAGGCCUCUGUUUACAAGCUUUUGCUCAAGGAUGAGUCCGCGUACCAUUAGCUUGUUGGUGGGGUAAUGGCCUACCAAGGCUGCGAUGGUUAGCUGGUCUGAGAGGAUGAUCAGCCACACUGGAACUGAGACACGGUCCAGACUCCUACGGGAGGCAGCAGUGGGGAAUAUUGCACAAUGGGCGAAAGCCUGAUGCAGCAACGCCGCGUGAGCGAUGAAGGCCUUCGGGUCGUAAAGCUCUGUCCUCAAGGAAGAUAAUGACGGUACUUGAGGAGGAAGCCCGGCUAACUACGUGCC
rnacentral:rRNA from 1 species